GGAGUCUAACAUGUGUGCGAGUGCUCGGGGUUGAAUCCCCCAGCGCGGAAUUAAUGUGAAGGCGGACCUAGUCCGCUGAGGUAGGAAGCCGUCAAAAGCUGCACUAUCGACCGACCAUGAUCUCCCGAGAGAAAGGUUUGAGUGUGAGCAUACAUGUUGGGACCCGAAAGAUGGUGAACUAUGCCUGAGUAGGGCGAAGCCAGGGGAAACUCUGGUGGAGGUCCGUAGCGAUUCUAACGUGCAAAAUUGAUCGUCGAACUUGGGUAUAGGGGCGAAAGACUAAUCGAACCAUCUAGUAGCUGGUUCCUCCCGAAAUUUCCCUUAGGAUAGCUGCAACCGAACAGUUUUAUCAGGUAAAGACAAUGAUUAGAGGCCUCAGGGGUGGAACGUCCUUGACCUAUUCUCAAACUUUAAAUAGGUAAGAACCCGGGUUGCUUAAUUGAACCCUGCGGUCGAAU
rnacentral:rRNA from 1 species